GUAAAUUAAUUUGUGUUUUGACUGAUUUUAAUUGUAUUUUAUUUGCAGGUUCAAUUGGUUUAUUUGGAGGUGUGCGUUGAAUUUGGUUUUGAUUGGUUUGCUUGGAGGUGAUUUGGCUUAUAUUUUCUGGAUUUGGUGAUAAUGUGUCCAUUUUUGCUGUGCCAUUGGACCAAGUCUUAACCAUUCGGCUGGAAGACGCCUUCCUCUUCAUCCCCUCUGUGGUCUGGCACUAUAAUUCUUUGUAUACCCAAUGGUUGGCCCCUGAUUCUUUCAAGUAUUGUUUCCCUAGUGUAUUUCCCUUGAGCAUACAUUUUUCUGUACACGUUUAUUUGUAGUUCGCAGAAUCUGUCCGGGUGUUUGUAUGGUUUUUUCUUCCGUUCGGCCUCUCUAUUGUCCAUUUUAGCCUUUUCCAGUCUUUCCUGUUCUUCAUUUUCUAACCUCAGCAGAGUAGGAAGUCCUUUCCUCAGGAUGGGUACAUACUUCUCUACUAUAACUUUGCGCUCAGCUUCGGAAUAGUAUCGAGUCGGAUCCAGAUCUGGAUU